AUAUAAAGUCGGACCUGCCCAGUGAAAGAUUUCAACGGCCGCGGUACUCUGACCGUGCAAAGGUAGCAUAAUCAUUUGCCUUUUAAUUGAAGGCUGGAAUGAAUGGUUUGACGAGGAUACAACUGUCUCCUUUAUGAUUACCUAAAAUUUUAUAUUAGGAUGAAAAAGUCCUAAUUUUAUUAAAAGACAAGAAGACCCUAUCGAGCUUAAUAUCAAUUAGUAAAUUAUAUCAUAAUUAAGGAUUUAUUACUAAAAAAUUUAGUUGGGGCAACUGAGGAGCAAACUAAGCCUCCUUUUAUUUUUAUAAAUAUAUUUAUUUUGAUCCAUUUUUGAUUAAGAGAAAUAGUUACCGUAGGGAUAACAGCAUUAUCCUCUUUGAGAGUUCCUAUCGAAAAGGGGGUUUGUGACCUCGAUGUUGGACCAAAGUAUCCUAAAGAUGUAGAAGUCUUUAAGGGUGUC
rnacentral:rRNA from 1 species